UUAACUUAUUGUAGUGCUUCAGAAGACAUGUUACAGAAGAGUUUUUAGGUGCUUUCGGCAGGCCUUGUAGGUGCCCCGCCCUGGGGCGGCCUGCCGAGGCAACACAGUUAUGUUCACAGUGGUUUGGAGUUUUGCAACUCGGUAAUGAUCCCUCCGCUGGUUCACCAACGGAGA
rnacentral:misc_RNA from 1 species